rnacentral:rRNA from 1 species
CGAAGUCGUGAGACGGAGCCAAUCCCAGAAAACCGAUCGUAGUCCGGAUUGCAGUCUGCAACUCGACUGCAUGAAGUCGGAAUCGCUAGUAAUCGCGGAUCAGCAUGCCGCGGUGAAUACGUUCCCGGGUCUUGUACACACCGCCCGUCAAACAAUGGGAGUGGUGUUUACCAGAAGUCGUUAGCCUAACCGCAAGGAGGGCGGCGACCACGGUGAGCACCGUGACUAAUGUUAAGUCGUAACAAGGUACC